rnacentral:rRNA from 1 species
GACGAACGCUGGCGGCGGGCUUAACACAUGCAAGUCGAACGGAAAGGCCCUGCUUUUGUGGGGUGCUCGAGUGGCGAACGGGUGAGUAACACGUGAGUAACCUGCCCUUGACUUUGGGAUGACUUCAGGAAACUGGGGCUAAUACCGGCUAGGAGCUCCUGCUGCAUGGUGGGGGUUGGACAUUUUCGGCGGUUGGGGAUGGACUCGCGGCUUAUCAGCUUGUUGGUGGGGUAGUUGCUUACCAAGGCUUUGACGGGUAGCCGGCCUGAGAGCGUGAACGGCCACCUUGGGCCUGCGGUACGGACCAGACUCGUAUGGGAGGCAGCAGUGGGGAAUAUUGCACAAUGGGAGGACGUGUGAUGAAGCAACGUCGCGUGCGGGAUGACGGCCUUCGGGUUGUAAACCGCUUUAGCUUGUGACGAAGCGUGAGUGACGGUAAUGGGUAAAGAAGCACCGGCUAACUACGUG